rnacentral:rRNA from 1 species
CCUACGGGAGGCAGCAGUGAGGAAUAUUGGUCAAUGGACGAGAGUCUGAACCAGCCAAGUAGCGUGAAGGAUGACUGCCCUAGGGGUUGUAAACUUCUUUUAUAUGGGAAUAAAAUGUUCCACGUGUGGGAUUUUGUAUGUACCAUAUGAAUAAGGAUCGGCUAACUCCGUGCCAGCAGCCGCGGUAAUAAGGAGGAUCCGAGCGUUAUCCGGAUUUAUUGGGUUUAAAGGGAGCGUAGGUGGAUUGUUAAGUCAGUUGUGAAAGUUUGCGGCUCAACCGUAACAUUGCAGUUGAAACUGGCAGUCUUGAGUACAGUAGAGGUGGGCGGAAUUCGUGGUGUAGCGGUGAAAUGCUUAGAUAUCACGAAGAACUCCGAUUGCGAAGGCAGUUCACUGGACUGCAACUGACACUGAGGCUCGAAAGUGUGGGUAUCAAACAGGAUUAGAUACCCUUGUAGUC